GACGAACGCUGGCGGCGUGCCUAAUACAUGCAAGUUGAGCGCUGAAGCUUGGUGCUUGCACCUCUUUGAAGAGCAGCGAACGGGUGAGUAACGCGUGGGUAACCUGCCUUUGAGCGGGGGACAACAUUUGGAAACGAAUGCUAAUACCGCAUAAUAAUUUUAAACAUAAGAUUAAAGAUUGAAAGAUGCAAUUGCAUCACUCAAAGAUGGUCCCGCGUUGUAUUAGCUAGUUGGUGAGGUAAAGGCUCACCAAGGCGAUGAUACAUAGCCGACCUGAGAGGGUGAUCGGCCACAUUGGGACUGAGACACGGCCCAGACUCCUACGGGAGGCAGCAGUAGGGAAUCUUCGGCAAUGGACGGAAGUCUGACCGAGCAACGCCGCGUGAGUGAAGAAGGUUUUCGGAUCGUAAAACUCUGUUGUUAGAGAAGAACGGUGGUGAGAGUGGAAAGCUCAUCAAGUGACGGUAACUACCCAGAAAGGGACGGCUAACUACGUG
rnacentral:rRNA from 1 species